GGGUCGGGAGGAGUUGCUUUGUCGGCGUGUAGAUCUCCUCUUCCCGCGCGGAGGAGUCUGUGGUUUCGUCUCAUCUCCCAGACCCUAUACGUUGUUGAUUGGGAGCGUCAGCUUUGAGCAAGUGCGCCCGCACAUUUCAGCGGAAAAGACUAAAGACUAGAUUGGAAGAAGAGAGAGUAGAAGCUAUGUUUCGAAGACCUGUAGUACAGGUACUUCGUCAGUUUGUAAGACAUGAGUCUGAAGUAGCUAGCAGUUUGGUUCUCGAAAGAUCUCUGAAUCGCGUGCAGUUGCUUGGUCGAGUAGGUCAGGACCCUGUCAUGAGACAGGUAGAAGAAAAAACCCAGUCACGAUAUUUUCCCUAGCAACAAACGAGAUGUGGCGAUCAGGGGAAAACGAAACCUACCAAAUGGGUGAUGUCAGUCAGAAGACAACAUGGCAUAGAAUCUCAGUGUUCCUACCAGGCCUCAGAGAUGUGGCGUAUCAGUACGUGAAGAAGGGGUCUCGAAUUUAUGUGGAAGGGAAAGUAGACUAUGGUGAAUAUACGGAUAAAAACAAUGUGAGACGACAAGCAACAACAAUUAUAGCUGAUAAUAUUAUAUUUCUGAGUGACCAGAUGAAAGAGAAGCCGUAGACUGGACGAUCCUUCUCUGGCCGGUGUUUGGUACAGUCUCAUUUCCAAAUCAUGCUAGUGUUUAUAGUUUCUAAGGACAAGAAUUAAAAUCCUGUUCAUUAUA